rnacentral:rRNA from 1 species
AGCGGCGGACGGGUGAGUAACGCGUGGGUAACCUGCCUCAUACAGGGGGAUAACAGUUAGAAAUGGCUGCUAAUACCGCAUAAGACCACAGUACUGCAUGGUACAGUGGUAAAAACUCCGGUGGUUAUGGAUGGGCAUGCGUUGUAUUAGCUGGUUGGUGAGGUAACGGCUCACCAAGGCAACGAUACAUAGGGGGACUGAGAGGUUAACCCCCCACAUUGGUACUGAGACACGGACCAA